ensembl:lncRNA
GGCAGCUGAUGCCACGCUGCCCUGGGCCUCCCUUGACCGCCUUCCCUGCGCAAAGCUGCGCAGCGUGGCUCCAGGGGAAGGUGCAGAGAUGAGAUAAGGGCCCAUGCGCUCAGAUCCACGCCCCGCACCGCCUCCCUCUGCCAAGGCCUGGUCCGGCCUCCGCAGCUGCUCCAGCGAGAUAAACCGGCCUCCUCUGCGAGGGAAAUCACAAAGAGAACACGCCAAUGCCUCCCAGGUUGAUGCUUGGGAAGAGGAAGAAAGAGGAGCCCUCCCCAUCAAAGGGGCUCUUGUUCUGUUCUCUCAGUCCGGGCAGAACAUCGCCGCCACUGCCUGAGCGCCGCCUGAGCCUCUGAGUUGUUUCCAAAGUGCAAUAACCGUGCUUCACAUCAGGCACAUUUGUGGCACUCCAUCUUAUCUUUGCAGUGCAUUCGGGAAGGAGAGGAUGGUCAAGAGCCAGGGAGGGUUCGAAUGAAAUGAGAAAUAAAGGAAUAGUAAUCUCUUUCCAUUUCUACUCCCCUCACCACCAUCUUCACCUUCGUCAUCAUUUCUUCAACAUCUUCAUCAUUUCCAUUUCUCUCCCAUCUAGGUCAUCGUUUCUUCAUCGUCGUCUCCAAUUCUUUCCCAUUUCCAUUAUCGUUUCCAUUUCUUCCCCAUCGUCCACAAAGUUUCCAUUCCUUUCCCAUAUUCAUCAUCUUCAUGAUCAUUUUACUUGGUCCCCAUCUUCCUCAUCUUCAUCAUCAUUUCCAUUUCUCUCCCAUCUUGGUCAUUGUUUCUUCAUCGUCGUCUCCAAUUCUUUCCCAUUUUCAUUAUCGUUUCCAUUUCUUCCCCAUCGUCCCCAAAGUUUCCAUUCCUUUCCCAUCUUCAUCAUCUUCAUGAUCAUUUUUCUUGGUCCCCAUCUUCCUCAUCUUCAUCAUUGUUUCCAUUUCUUCCCCAUCGUCCACAAAGUUUCCAUUCCUUUCCCAUCUUCAUCAUCUUCAUGAUCAUUUUUACUUGAUCCCCAUCUUCCUCAUCUUCAUCAUCGUUUCCAUUUCUCUCCCAUCUUCAUCAUCGUUUCUUCAUCAUCGUCUCCAAUUCUUUCCCAUUUUCAUUAUCGUUUCCAUUUCUUCCCCAUCGUCCACAAAGUUUCCAUUCCUUUCCCAUCUUCAUCAUCUUCAUGAUCAUUUUUAUUUGAUCCCCUAUCUUCCUCAUCUUCAUCAUCAUUUCCUUUUCUUCUCCAUCAUCUCCCCCUUAAAAUGGGUACCAAAUAGUCUUACAAAUGAAUUCAAAAUUCCACGGCCAUAAUGUAAUGUUUGCGCAAUGGACUAUAACUCCAAAUACCUAUGGUUCAAAUCCCUGCUCGGUCAUGAAGCUCACUGGAUGAUCCUGAGUGAGUUACGCACUCUCAGCCUCAGAAAAUCCCAUCCAUCCACUGUUUGGAAAGACCUAAAGAGGGAGAAAUGGAAUCCCUGGUAGUGCUGAACUGCUGAACUUGCUGACCGAAAGGUUGGCGGUUCGAAUCCAGGGAGUGGGAUGAGCUCCUGCUGUUAGCCCCAGCUUCUGCCAACCUAGCAGUUCAAAAACAUGCAAAUGUGAGUAGAUCAAUAGGUACUGCUCUGGCGGGAAGGUAAUGGCGCUCCAUGCAGUCAUGCUGGCCACAUGACCUAGGAGGUGUCUAUGGACAACGCCGGCUCUUCGGCUUAGAAAUGGAGAUGAGCUCCAACCCCCAGAGUCAGACACAACUAGACUUCACGUCAGGGGAAAACCCUUACCUUUACCUACGCUGUGAAAUGAAUGCAGUUUGACACCACUUUAAGUGCUAUGGUUCAAUGUUAAGAAAUCCUGGGAGUUGUAGUUUGGUGAGAUAUAUAGCAUGACUCCCUGUUUAGCAAUGGAUGCAGCUGGGACUAAGCAAUCGCAUCCCAAAUACGGUUGUCUUAGGGCACAUCUAUCCAGGGUCUAUUCCCAUCCCAAUUUGCACUUCCAAGAAUUUGCAGCACUUUAUCAGUCACCUCGUGUUUACAAUAUUUAUAUGGUGCACCUUACCCAGUCUACUUUUACAACUUCUCCAUUUUAAUCCAUGUUUUUAUCAGCUCUUGUCAUUUGUUUUUACUGGCUAAUGUUUAAAUUUUUAUAAUUGUGCAUUUUUUUUGUCUAUUGUUGUGUUUUAUAUUGCUAUUAUUUUUAUUUGGGCUUGGCCCCAUGUAAGCCACCCUGAGUCCCCUUUGGGGAGAUAGAGGCGGGGUAUAAAAAUAAAGUUGUUAUUAUUAUUAUUAUUAUUAUUAUUAUUAUUAUUAUUAUUAUUAUUAUAUUAGAAUGAAUUUGGCACCACUUUAAGCAGCAUGGUUUAAUGCUAUGGAAUCCUGGCAGUUGUAGCUCUUAGCUUUCUCUACCUAAGAGUGCCAAACUACAAAUCCCAGGAUACCAUAGUAUCAAGUCGUGGCAGCUGAAGUCAUGCCAAACUGCGUGGAUUUGCAAUCAAAGAAAUACAAGCUUCUAAAGAAAAGGAGAGGAGGCAAAAUGAUUCCAGGAAAAUGCAAACAUGGGAAAUAUGAUGAUAAGAAUAAUUAUAGUCCAUGUUUAAUGUCAGGGGAAAACCUUUACCUAAAGAGGGAGAGUCCACCAUGUUCCUGCGAUGUCUAUUGCAAAGGCGCCCAUCAGUAGAGGAAGCUGGUGGUUCAGUUACUUUGCAGGAAUGGAUGUGGAUAUCAAGGUGCAUCUCCACUGUUGAAUUAAUGCAGUUGGGCACCACUUUAACUGCCAUGGCUCAAUGCUAUGGAAUCUGGAGAGUUGGAGUUUGGUGAGGCACCUUUAACUUGCUUCCAUGAGCUUUGCAUUAAAGACAGAUUGCUUGCGUAAAGAGAUAGCAUUGCAUACCUCCUUGCACAAGCAUGGAACACAAUGGCUACAACCAGAAUUUGCUCUGUGCGAUGGCCCACGUCCCUUACCCUCCAUUCCUCCUCUCUAAACAAAUGCACAACACACACAGCACAACUUCUCUCCAACUUCUCUCUCCAGGACGUGACCCCUGGAUGAAGAUAAGGUAUCGAUUCCCCAUUUUGGGAGGAGGAGACCAACUUAAUGAGUUCAUUAUUUCUUUUUUGGCCCAACUGCAACCGAUGAUUUAUGGCCCAAUGACUAAUUGCAGUGUUUAUUACUUCUGAGGUUCUAAAGGCGUAAAUACUUCCUGCGAAAAGUCCCUGUUGCCGUUCCUUAUUGCAGUUUGAAUUCACACACCUUUCGCUCAGAGGACUUUGCCAGGCUCUUCUUUCCGAGAUGAAGAAACUUUCUCACAUAUGGGCCACUUCUAACACUUGCUUUAUUGCCAGGAAUUGCUUGAUCGUUUGUUCUAAAUUGUUGGUUUUAAUUAUCAGUUUGCUCCAGAUGUCCUUUUAGGGUAUAUAAAUGCUUAUAAAUUACAGAGAAAUAUAACAUAUAGGAGAGACAGCAAUGGUUUGAUUGUUGGGCUACAAUGCUAGGCCUGCAUCUACACUAUAGAAUGGAUGCAGUUUGAAACCAUUUUAACUGCCGUGACUCAUUGCUAUGGAAUCCUGGGAGUUGUAGUUUUAUGAGGACUGUAGCCUUCCUUGCAAAUUAAUGCCAGUGCCUCAACCAAACUCCAUAGUAUUGGGUUUGGUGUCUAACUGGCCCGGGCUGUGGCACAGGCUGGUGAGCAGCCAGCUAGCUGCAGCCAGCUGCAACAAAUCACUAUGACCAAGAGGUCAUGAGUUCGAGGCCAGCUCGGAGCCUAUGUUUGUCUUGUCUUUAUUCUAUAUUAAAGGCAUUGAAUGUUUGCCUUAUAUGUGUAAUGUGAUCCGCCCUGAGUCCCCUUCAGGGUGAGAAGGGCGGAAUAUAAAUACUGUAAAUAAAUAAAUAAAAUAAAUAAACUGCAUUAAUUUCACAGUGUAGAUGCAUCCUGGGAAACCAGGUUUCAAAUCCUCGCUUUGUAAUUGAAACCUAUUGGGUGGCCUUGUCUAAGUCACUUUCUCUCAGCCUCAGAGGAAGGAAAAAGCAAAGCUUCAUUGAAGAAAUCCAGCCAAGGAAACUCCAUGACAGGGUUGCUUUAAGUAAAGGUAAAGGUUUUCCCCGACAUUCAGUCUAGUCAUGUCUGACUCUGAGGGUUGGUGCUCAUCUCCAUUUCAAAGCCGAAGGGCCAGCCUUGUCCAAGGUAGUGUUGCUGGUAUGACUGCAUGGAGUGCCAUUACCUUCCCACUGGAGCGGUACCUAUUGAUCUACUCAUAUUUGCAUGUUUCCGAACUGCUAGGUUGGCAGAAGCUGGGGCUAACAAUGGGAACUCACCCCGUUCCCCAGGGUUGCCUUGUAAUGGUGCAAUUCACAUUUAUUUGCACACUCAGUUGUGCAGUUUUGCAAUUCACCAAUGCACAUUAUUGUCAUGCAACUCCAAGAGUGUAAAGGUACACUUUGUAGCAUCUCAUCCACUGAUCCACAUAUGGAGAUUUGCACAACCUUGAUACGGGAGCUCAACUAAUACUCUCAAGGGCUCUGCGGGGGUUUCCUCCAUUGAGUCCUAUGGAAGCUGGGACCACAAAGGCCAUCUAGUCCAACCCCAUCCUGCCAUGCACUGGCCACUCAUCCAGCAGCCGCUGCCAUGAAGAGGGAAAACUAUAUGACCCAGGGAAUGCAUGCAUAAAC